CCUACGGGGGGCUGCAGUGGGGAAUAUUGGACAAUGGGGGGAACCCUGAUCCAGCCAUGCCGCGUGUGUGAAGAAGGCCCUCGGGUUGUAAAGCACUUUCAGUGAGGAAGAACGCCUGGUGGUUAAUACCCAUCAGGAAAGACAUCACUCACAGAAGAAGCACCGGCUAACUCCGUGCCAGCAGCCGCGGUAAUACGGAGGGUGCGAGCGUUAAUCGGAAUUACUGGGCGUAAAGCGCGCGUAGGUGGCUUGAUAAGCCGGUUGUGAAAGCCCCGGGCUCAACCUGGGAACGGCAUCCGGAACUGUCAAGCUAGAGUGCAGGAGAGGAAGGUAGAAUUCCCGGUGUAGCGGUGAAAUGCGUAGAGAUCGGGAGGAAUACCAGUGGCGAAGGCGGUCUUCUGGACUGACACUGACACUGAGGUGCGAAAGCGUGGGUAGCAAACAGGAUUAGAUACCCCGGUAGUC
rnacentral:rRNA from 1 species